UUGAAAAGUACGUUAAUCAGUACGCUUCAACCUUUUGUAACCGAGGCAUACCUGUGGUCAGACAAAAGAAACAUGUGCAAUCGUAAUCGACUUGUAUUCUUCCUUGUUUCGGCAUUGUUUGUCACCGCAUGGGCCGCAUCAGCAAAAGAAUGUAGAGAUCCUCUGCAAGAAUACAGAAAAUGCCAAUCAUCGAGCUGUGUAAAAACAUGCGCGAAUCCAAAUCCAACUAUUUGUACAUUCGACUGCCAACAGGGAUGUUAUUGCAAAGAGCCAUACGUAUUGGAUCAGAGUACUAAUCAAUGCGUUGAAAUCGCAAAAUGCACCAAAUUGUGUCGAGAGAAUGAAGUAUACAAACAAUGUGGGUACUGCGAUGGCUCAUGUCAACAGGAGCUAGUGAAAUGUACAAGAAACUGUCGACCAGGGUGUUAUUGCGAGGAUGGUUUCGUUCGAGAUCAAGGGAGGUGUAUCAAUCGCCUGCAAUGUCCCAUUCCAUGAAUUUAUUUGAUAAAGAUUAGUAAUAUGCAUAAAAAUGGUUUUUGCUAUUUUUUAGUCAUGUUCAAAUCGUAAACUAGCCAAAAUAAUAUUAAAACGUAAAUGUGAGAUUUUUGUUUGUUUGUGACGCUUUCACUGGAGAACAAUUCAAUCAAUUUUGAUAAAUUUUGGUAUACAGACAUUUUGGACCUAGGAAUAACAAAUAGACUACUUUUUGUUGCAAAAAUAUAACUAAAAGGGUGUAAAAUAAGGGAUAAAAGAUGGUAUGAAGCAUCAAUCACAAUUAUAGUUAAAUAAAUCCAAGCUAGAUGGCGCUAAAGUGCAUUAUUACGAUUUGAUCUAAAUUUUUGUAAAACACACCGAAUUUUAUGCUUCUAUUUGCGUUUUAAAGCAAUUUAAUACUACAAAAAUACAAUAUCUUUCAUUUCUAACGUAAAUAA